rnacentral:rRNA from 1 species
CUCGUAGGCGGCUGAGUAAGUCGGAUGUUAAAUCCCCAGGCUCAACCUGGGACACCACCCGAUACUGCUCUGGCUAGAGUCCGGUAGGGGAGCGUGGAAUUCCUGGUGUAGCGGUGAAAUGCGCAGAUAUCAGGAGGAACACCAGCGACGAAGGCGGCGCUCUGGGCCGGUACUGACACUGAGGAGCGAAAGCGUGGGUAGCAAACA